rnacentral:rRNA from 1 species
UACGUAGGGGGCAAGCGUUGUCCGGAAUCAUUGGGCGUAAAGCGCGUGUAGGCGGUUCGGUAAGUCUGCUGUGAAAGUCCAGGGCUCAACCCUGGGAUGCCGGUGGAUACUGUCGGACUAGAGUACGGAAGAGGCGAGUGGAAUUCCCGGUGUAGCGGUGAAAUGCGCAGAUAUCGGGAGGAACACCAAUUGCGAAGGCAGCUCGCUGGGACGUCACUGACGCUGAG